GAAUGGUCAUUUCCACCGAAGGCGUCCUCUAUGUACAUAGUCCACCCUGACUCACAACUGUUGUAUUCCUCCUCCUCCUCAGAGCCUCCAUGAUCCCUUGGAGAUUCCAUGGCUUUGUUCUAGGCAAAGAAGAACACAAAAAUAAAGUUUUAGGAAAAGCAGGAGCCUAUAAGAAGCCUCAUAUAAUUGAAGAGCAGGAGUAAGUUUCACCACAUGGCAACCCUAGCACCAUUGUUUUCACUCACUUGAAGCACUACAUGACAAAGCCAACUGCAGAUAUAUAUAUAUAUAUCAAGGAAGGUAGCAAAGGUUUAAAUUUGGAAAAGUCACAGAUAUUGAAAGCAUCAUAAUCAGAUAUCCACUGGAAGUAAUUGAUAACUUUGGUUGGCAAGUCAGUGAGAAAAGGGACGGGACUCUGUGUUGUUUGCCUCUUAUGGCAUGUUGGAGCAGCUAGUUGUGAAGUAUAUGUUGUUGUUAUAUCUUAUAACCAUAUAUACCGUUAUAUUUUACCAAAGAAAAAUUCUCAACACUGAUAUUUGUAAUUUGUUUCAGUACUUAUAUACGUCGAAUAUUUAGG